UACGUAGGGACCGAGCGUUGUCCGGAUUCAUUGGGCGUAAAGAGCUCGUAGGCGGCUGCUCAAGUCGAAUGUGAAAACUCGAGGCUCAACCUCGAGCCUGCAUUCGAUACUGGGCGGCUAGAGUCUGGUAGGGGGAUCUGGAAUUCCUGGUGUAGCGGUGGAAUGCGCAGAUAUCAGGAGGAACACCGGUGGCGAAGGCGGCAUCCUGGACCGGUAUUGACGCUGAGGCGCGAAAGCCAGGGGAGCAAACGGG
rnacentral:rRNA from 1 species